rnacentral:rRNA from 1 species
UACGUAGGGGGCAAGCGUUGUCCGGAAUUAUUGGGCGUAAAGAGCUCGUAGGCGGUUUGUCGCGUCUGCUGUGAAAACUCGGGGCUUAACCCCGGGCCUGCAGUGGGUACGGGCAGACUAGAGUGCGGUAGGGGAGACUGGAAUUCCUGGUGUAGCGGUGAAAUGCGUAGAUAUCGGGAGGAACACCAGUGGCGAAGGCGACUACCUGGCCUGUUCUUGACGCUGAGGCGCGAAAGCUAGGGGAGCAAACGGG